GACGAACGCUGGCGGCGUGCUUAACACAUGCAAGUCGAACGGAAAGGCCCUGCUUGCAGGGUACUCGAGUGGCGAACGGGUGAGUAACACGUGGGUGAUCUGCCCUGCACUUCGGGAUAAGCCUGGGAAGCUGGGUCUAAUACCGGAUAGGAGCCAUUUUUAGUGUGAUGGUUGGAAAGUUUUUUCGGUGUAGGAUGAGCUCGCGGCCUAUCAGCUUGUUGGUGGGGUAAUGGCCUACCAAGGCGGCGACGGGUAGCCGGCCUGAGAGGGUGGACGGCCACAUUGGGACUGAGAUACGGCCCAGACUCCUACGGGAGGCAGCAGUGGGGAAUAUUGCACAAUGGGCGCAAGCCUGAUGCAGCGACGCCGCGUGGGGGAGGACGGCCUUCGGGUUGUAAACUCCUUUCGCUAGGGACGAAGCUUUUUGUGACGGUACCUAGAUAAGAAGCACCGGCUAACUACGUG
rnacentral:rRNA from 1 species